AUUGAACGCUGGCGGCAGGCCUAACACAUGCAAGUCGAGCAGAUGAAGAGAGCUUGCUCUCUGAUUUAGCGGCGGACGGGUGAGUAAUGCCUAGGAAUCUGCCUGGUAGUGGGGGAUAACGUUCCGAAAGGAACGCUAAUACCGCAUACGUCCUACGGGAGAAAGCAGGGGACCUUCGGGCCUUGCGCUAUCAGAUGAGCCUAGGUCGGAUUAGCUAGUUGGUGAGGUAAUGGCUCACCAAGGCUACGAUCCGUAACUGGUCUGAGAGGAUGAUCAGUCACACUGGAACUGAGACACGGUCCAGACUCCUACGGGAGGCAGCAGUGGGGAAUAUUGGACAAUGGGCGAAAGCCUGAUCCAGCCAUGCCGCGUGUGUGAAGAAGGUCUUCGGAUUGUAAAGCACUUUAAGUUGGGAGGAAGGGCAGUAAGUUAAUACCUUGCUGUUCUGACGUUACCGACAGAAUAAGCACCGGCUAACUUCGUGCCAGCCGCCGCCGUAAUAC
rnacentral:rRNA from 1 species